rnacentral:rRNA from 1 species
GAGGGUGCGAGCGUUGUCCGGAAUCACUGGGCGUAAAGGGCGCGUAGGUGGCCUGGUAAGUAGGGGGUGAAAUCUCGAGGCUCAACUUCGAGGCUGCCUCCUAAACUGUCGGGCUUGAGCAGAGUAGAGGCAGGUGGAAUUCCCGGUGUAGCGGUGGAAUGCGUAGAGAUCGGGAAGAACAUCGGUGGCGAAGGCGGCCUGCUGGGCUCUUGCUGACACUGAGGCGCGACAGCGUGGGGAGCAAACAGGAUUAGAUACCCUGGUAGUCCACGCCGUAAACGAUGGGUACUAGGCGCCGGGGGGAGCGACCCCUUCGGUGCCGUCGCUAACGCAAUAAGUACCCCGCCUGGGGAGUACGGCCGCAAGGCUG